UUUACUGAUCACAACAUCCCUCCUGUCGGAGACAGAAGACUGAAUCCCCCAGAGUCUACAUUCUACAUUCUAACCCCCCGAUUCUAUGUCACACUAUGCGGUAGGGAGGAAUUCAGUUUGCAGAUGCGACUAGGAUUGCUCACCAGCUGGUCUUCAGUGAGGAGCACACUGUGGAUUGUGUGGGUGGAUCCAGUAAACGACCCCAGUCCAGAGAGGCGGAGAACAGAAACAGAAGAACAGAACCAGGCUCAGGGUUCUCCACCCCCUGCUGCUGCCUUGAAGGCAGAGGAGGACGGGUGCCUGGGCCAGGGAAGCGGGGGACCUCUGUGCUGGACAGAGCCAGGAAGAGGGUUCUUCCCCAGAGCUUCCAGAGGGGGCGCGGCCCUGCCCACACCUUGACUGCAGCCCCUGGGACCUGUUCAGACAUGCGGCCUCCAGAGCUAUGAAAGAGUGCGUCGUGGGAACUGUGAGAACCUGUGACAGGAGCCGUAAGAGCCCGGCAGGCACCUUCCCUUGCAGGCUGAGGCUAAGGCGGCCUCCACCUGGCCCGUUCUCCUGGCUUUCCAGUUCACUUCCUCUAAUCUCCAGCAUCCCGACUUUCUGAUCCCACUCCUCACUCCAGGGACUGCAUGCUGCCUUGACUACCCCUCGUCCCACACGUGCCUGCCCUGCCCUGCCUACCUGACUCAGAUCCCGUGACCUGGCGUUACAAUCACUCGCCUGCACCCCUCCACUGUGCACUCUCCACAUGCGGUCUCCCCUGUCCGCUCCAGCCACACACAGCCCUCCACGUUUGUCACUUGGGCCUGCCAGUGGAACACGGCUGGAGAAAAACACACAGCCAGUCUGAUCGGUCGCCUUUCCAAGGCAGGACCCUAACAUGAAGUGGGACCUCGGCAUGCCCGGGAAUCUGCUGGGACUCCGUGGGCCUGCACCCUCUCUCCUGGAGGAGCUCCUCACUUCUUGCUGGAAAUACCCACAUCCUGUCUUCAUCUUUGCUCUCUGUUGAUUUUGCCUGCACGAAUAUACAGCCAGCUGUCUGUGUCUGUGGAUUCCCCAUCUAUCGAUUCAGCCAACUACAGAUCAAUCAAAAUAUUUGAGGAAAACAAACUCUGUCCUGAUCAGGAUCUUCCUGCCUGCUGUGCCCGCUGUGGUCUCCAGGUGGACAAGGGGAAGCUGGGAUAUCUUUGGUGAGCAAAUUGUAACCUGUUCUGCAGGGAUGGCAGCAAUGUGGCUGAAUGUACCUGAAAG